GACGAACGCUGGCGGCGUGCUUAACACAUGCAAGUCGAGCGGAAAGGCCCUGCUUUUGUGGGGUGCUCGAGUGGCGAACGGGUGAGUAACACGUGAGUAACCUGCCCUUGACUUUGGGAUAACUUCAGGAAACUGGGGCUAAUACCGGAUAGGAGCUCCUGCGGCAUGGUGGGGGUUGGAAAGGUUCGGCGGUUGGGGAUGGACUCGCGGCUUAUCAGCUUGUUGGUGGGGUAGUGGCUUACCAAGGCUUUGACGGGUAGCCGGCCUGAGAGGGUGACCGGCCACACUGGGACUGAGACACGGCCCAGACUCCUACGGGAGGCAGCAGUGGGGAAUAUUGCACAAUGGGCGGAAGCCUGAUGCAGCAACGCCGCGUGCGGGAUGACGGCCUUCGGGUUGUAAACCGCUUUCGCCUGUGACGAAGCGUGAGUGACGGUAAUGGGUAAAGAAGCACCGGCUAACUACGUG
rnacentral:rRNA from 1 species